AGCUAACCGAGCUAGCUUCUUUAAACAGAAGCCGAGACCUUUAAAAGGAAAAUAUUUACAAAAUAUAAAAUAUAUAAAUAAACCAUACUAAAAUAAAAAACACGAAGCACUGCAUACAUAUAAUAUAUACACAUAUUAACCGUGUUUUUGUGUACACAUGUGUUAAUAAACACAAAAACAAAUAAUAACUUUGACUAGUCCAUUCAACCAGGAUGACAACCAGGAGCUAGCUUGGGCUUUUUAGCUAACGACCGCUCUGAACCCAAAUACCUGAACAUCACAUAUACAGUGCACUACAGAGUGCUCACAGGCGCCUAUUACAUACGGCCGGUGUAGUGCACCGGCUAUAAGGAGCACAGACCGGUUUGGGACGCGGCCCAAAGCGCAGCUAAUAAGCGUCACGAUAGCGCCACCAACGUAGCCGGGGCAGCACGCGCACUCUUCAUUUCGCCCGAAAAAAAAAUAAUUCAAGCGUAACACCGAAUCAUAAACACGGGUAAAGUUACCACCGGGGCAAGUGGGUAUCACCACCCGAGCGCAGGGGCACAAUAAAAAGAAAUAAAUACACAUCAUGUAACGCAUUAAAGCCUUAAAGCCAAACGGCGUGUGGAGAGGCAGCGCCAUGACCACGGAUCGAUGCGAAUCGAACAAAGAGGAUCAAUUUCCGAUCAGCGAGAGGGAAUCAAUGGCGAGAGAGAGAGAAGAGUCCCGGAAAAAAAGUCCAAAAAAAAACCCCGAAGAUCCGCGAACAACCGGAGAAGGGCCGGAGCGCGCGCGCUUCACGGCGUCCCGGAAAGCGAGGCAGAGAGAGCGGAGAGAAAAGCAAACCUGCAGCUGCUGUAAAUCAAAGCGCUUCCAAUAUUGAAACAUCGAUCCCGCAUUGGCCGCCAUCUUGAGACAUAUUGAGACGGAGUGAGAGGCUGAUAGAGAGAGCGCGAGGGGCCGGAGUUCGCGAGAGGGGGGGAAAAAACACACACAAGAGCGGGGACGCGCGUAAAACCCGGAGCGGAGUGAUCGAACGCGGCCUUCGCUUAUCGAACAACGGCGCGGAAUGGAGCUGAUCGAACUGCCAACCUCGGUGUGUAUUGAACCGCGCCACGGAGCUCAGCGAUCGACCGGCGAUAUCUGUAACUCAUAAAACGCGGACUGGAGUAUUAUUUAUUGUUAGUUCCCAGAAGCAGGAUGUUUACUCUCUGAAUGUGAACAUGGUCUAAACACAACAGCAACACUGCAGUAUUGAUUACCGAGAAGCAGAACAUCGUCUAAACACAAGAACAACAACAGUAUUGAUUACUGAGGUAUUGAUUUGAUUACUUAGUUUUUUCUCCUUUUUUGUUUUUGUUUUUACUUAUUUAAACUUUUUUUUUUACUUUUUUUCCUUCCUUCAAAUGUCUUUGUUUGUUUGUUUACAAACUGAACAUCAUUCAUUAUAAAUAUCUGUUAAUUUCAUUAUGAUGCUGUUAAUCAUAGUUUCUAUCCAUACUGUGUCAUCUGAUAUAAAAAUGAAUGUUAUUGUUUAUUACAUACUAUUAUUGUUGAUGUUCAUUUUUAAUCUUUUUGAAAAAUUGUGAUCAUAUGUCUUUGCUGAUUUUGUAUGUUAUUGUAUAAUAUAUUAAUGUUAAUAAUGUUAUCAUAUAAAGCUUUCGACUUUUUAGGCUUAUACAGAAUCUAAAGUAUGUGAAAAUGUAUAUAUCUUUAAAAUAAUAUCUGGAUUAGUAUAGUUAUUCUGAUUAUAUGAUUAAUUAUAUUAUAUUCUUGGUGUUUGAACGUUCAGAUAUUGUUGUUUUGAUCAGACCACGGAAGCGUGCUAAUGGCGCCUCUACAGGCCGACACGAGAACUGCAGUAUAUUUAUUUAUUUUUCUAUCUUUAUCAACUGCUCUCAUUACCUAGUGAUGUUUAAAAGUACGUUUGUACCUUCUUGAUCCUUUCACUCAUCUUUAGUCAGGGAUUUUUUCAACCUGGUGAAGGUGAUGAACAUAAACGUCAGGAACACUCAGUGUAAAGUUAGGAAGACUUUACAUAUUAAAAAGAAUGCACCUCUUA